CGGGGGCCUUUAAGCUCGUAGUUGGAUUUCGGAGGUCUUUAGUGGUCCGCCCCUUCGGGGAGCGGGUCACUGGCCUCCUAUGUUCCUAACGGUCCGCUAAGCUUUGAGGGUGGGGAAUCAACCGCUAGGAUCGUUUACUUUGAGGAAAUUAGAGUGUUCAAAGCAGGCGUAACUCGCCUCCGAAUACGUUAGCAUGGGAUAAUGGAAUACGACUUCGGUCUUGUUUCGUUGGUUUCGCUUGGCUGAAGUAAUGAUUGAUAGGGACAGUUGGGGGCAUUAGUAUUUAGUUGUCAGAGGUGAAAUUCUAGGAUUUACUAACAAGCUGACCAAUGCGAAAGCAUUUGCCAAGGAUGUUUUCAUUAAUCAAGAACGAAAGUAGGGGGAUCGAAGACGAUCAGAUACCGUCGUAGUCUCUACCGUAAACUAUGCCGACCAGGGAUCCGGAGAGUUUGCAUGGAUGACUCCAAUGCGAAAGCAUGUGAGAAAUCAUAAGUGUUUGGGUUUUGGGGGGAGUAUGGUCGCGCUAGAAACUUAAAGGAAUUGACGGAAGGGCACCACCAGGAGUGGAACCUGCGGCUUAAUUUGACUCAACACGGGGAAACUUACGAGGUCAGGACUGUGAGCAUUGACACUGAUUGAU
rnacentral:rRNA from 1 species